GACGAACGCUGGCGGCGUGCUUAACACAUGCAAGUCGAACGAAGUGGCGAACGGGUGAGUAACGCGUAAUCAACCUGCCCUUCAGAGGGGGACAACAGUUGGAAACGACUGCUAAUACCGCAUACUGAAGGAAGGGAUUGUGUCUGAUUAGCUAGUUGGAGGGGUAACGGCCCACCAAGGCGGUGAUCAGUAGGCGGUCUUGAAGGAUGAACGGCCACAUUGGGAAUGGGACACGGCCCAGAAUCCUACGGGAGGCAGCAAGGGGGAAACAUCCGCAAUGGACGAAAGGCUGACGGAGCAACGCCGCGGGGGUGAUGACGGCCUUCGGGUUGGAAAGCUCUGUUAAUCGGGACGCGGUACCGGAAUAGAAAGCCACGGCUAACUACGUGCCAGCAGCCGCGGUAAUAC
rnacentral:rRNA from 1 species